rnacentral:rRNA from 1 species
CCUACGGGUGGCAGCAGUGAGGAAUAUUGGUCAAUGGCCGGAAGGCUGAACCAGCCAUGCCGCGUGAAGGUCAGUGCCCUAUGGGCGUUAAACUUCUUUUGUGCGGGAGCAAUAAUGGUCACGUGUGGCCAGACGAGAGUACCGUACGAAUAAGCAUCGGCUAACUCCGUGCCAGCAGCCGCGGUAAUACGGGGGAUGCAAGCGUUAUCCGGGUUUAUUGGGUUUAAAGGGUGCGUAGGCUGUGAGGUAAGUCAGCGGUGAAAUGCCCCCGCUCAACGGGGUGAAGUGCCAUUGAUACUGCCUGGCUGGAGUGCGGAUGCCGUGGGAGGAAUGUGUGGUGUAGCGGUGAAAUGCAUAGAUAUCACACAGAACACCGAUUGCGAAGGCAUCUCACGAAUCCGCGAUUGACGCUGAUGCACGAAAGCGUGGGUAUCAAACAGGAUUAGAUACCCCAGUAGUC